AAGUCGUAACAAGGUCUCCGUUGGUGAACCAGCGGAGGGAUCAUUACCGAGUUUCCAACUCCCAAACCCCUGUGAACAUACCUAUCGUUGCUUCGGCGGGAUCGCCCCGGCGCCGCCGGGCCCGGACCCAGGCGCCCGCCGGAGAACCCAAUUCAAACUCUUUUGUCUCUGCGAGUACCAUCUGAGUGAUACAAGCAAAUAAAUCAAAACUUUCAACAACGGAUCUCUUGGUUCUG
rnacentral:misc_RNA from 1 species